UACGUAGGGAGCAAGCGUUGUCCGGAAUUAUUGGGCGUAAAGCGCGCGUAGGCGGCCCUGUAAGUCCGCUGUGAAAGUCAGUGGCUCAACCACUGAAUGCCGGUGGAUACUGCAGGGCUAGAGUCCGGAAGAGGCAAGUGGAAUUCCUGGUGUAGCGGUGGAAUGCGCAGAUAUCAGGAGGAACACCAACGGCGAAGGCAGCUUGCUGGGACGGUACUGACGCUAAGGCGCGAAAGCGUGGGGAGCGAACAGG
rnacentral:rRNA from 1 species